GACGAACGCUGGCGGCGUGCUUAACACAUGCAAGUCGAACGGAGAAUUUUACUUCGGUGAAAUUCUUAGUGGCGAACGGGUGAGUAACGCGUAGACAACCUGCCUCUUAGAUGGGGACAACAUCGCGAAAGCGGUGCUAAUACCGAAUGAAGUGGAGCUUCCGCAUGGAAGCAUCACCAAAGGUGGCCUCUAUUUAUAAGCUACCACUGAGAGAUGGGUCUGCGUCUGAUUAGCUAGUUGGCGGGGUAAUGGCCCACCAAGGCGACGAUCAGUAGCCGGUCGGGGAGGAUGAACGGCCACAUUGGACCUGAGACACGGCCCAAACUCCUACGGGAGGCAGCAGCGGGGAAUCUUCCGCAAUGGACGAAAGUCUGACGGAGCAACGCCGCGUGAGUGAAGAAGGUUUUCGGAUCGUAAAGCUCUGUUGUUUGAGACGAAUGUGCAGACUUUGAAUAAGGGUUUGUAAUGACGGUAUUAAACGAGAAAGCCACGGCUAACUACGUGCCAGCAGCCGCCGUAA
rnacentral:rRNA from 1 species